CUUUCAUUACCUGCAACUAAGGCUGGGCAAUAGUUCAAUAUGAUGAUUUAUCGUCUUUCAAUGGAAUCAUAUCGUGAUGAACUCAUAUAUCGAGCUAUUGUGACAUGCAAUGACGUCUAAAUUGAUAAUAACAAUCACAUACUAACUCAAUUUUCUCAGAAAAUCUGUUGUGAAACACUUUGAGGGAAUAUCAUUUGAAGAAUUGCAGAUUUGUUUUAACGUCACAUUUGUGUGCAAGCAUGUAAACACAGUCAGUAUACAGCUGGGAAGAAAUUAUCUAUUUUUUCUCUAUAAUU